rnacentral:rRNA from 1 species
AUCAUUAUUGAAUUUAAACUGGGUGAGGUUGCUGCUGGCUCCUUCGCGAGCAUGUGCACAUCUCACUCAUCCAACCUUCACACCCCUGUGCACUCUUCAUGGAACGGAUCCUGCGGUUUCUCUUCUGAGAAAUUUGCAGACCGCUCUGUGUUUAUUUUAUAAACUCUGAAACAGUCUUGAAUGUCAUCUUGCGCAUAAUACGCAUUUAAAUACAACUUUCAGCAACGGAUCUCUUGGCUCUCGCAUCGAUGAAGAACGCAGCGAAAUGCGAUAAGUAAUGUGAAUUGCAGAAUUCAGUGAAUCAUCGAAUCUUUGAACGCACCUUGCGCUCCUUGGUAUUCCGAGGAGCAUGCCUGUUUGAGUGUCAUGGUAUUCUCAAUUCCCUCAACCUUUGUUGGAUGGGGUGAUAUUGGACUUGGAGGCUUUUGCUGGCAUCUUAGUGAAGUCAGCUCCUCUUAAAUGCAUCAGUGUGAGUCCCACUUCAUGCUCAGUGUGAUAAUUAUCUGCACUGUUUUUGGGUGUGGCAACUUCAUGCUUCCAACUGUCGCAAGACAAACCUUUUGACAUCUGACCUCAAAUCAGGUAGGACUACCCGC